rnacentral:rRNA from 1 species
UACGGAGGGUGCGAGCGUUGUCCGGAAUCACUGGGCUUAAAGGGCGCGUAGCGGUCUGCCAAGUCUGGGGUGAAAUCCUCCGGCUCAACCGGAGAACGGCCUCGGAUACUGGCGGUCUCGAGGGAGGUAGGGGCGUGCGGAACUAAGGGUGGAGCGGUGAAAUGCGUUGAUAUCCUUAGGAACUCCGGUGGCGAAGGCGGCACGCUGGACCUCUUCUGACGCUGAGGCGCGAAAGCCAGGGGAGCAAACGGG